ACAAUUACACGUAAUUAUCGAGAGAAUACAGAGGAAACCCACCUUUCCUCUCGUCGGAAAAACUCUCCAACAUUGGAAAUAAUUAAUACUCCUUGCAUCAGUUUUUCAUCCCUUUGUCCUUCGGUGACAUAGCUCGGAGGUGCAAAACAAAAGUUACACCGAGAGCUAGUACAAGGCAAAAAUAAGGUCGUGAGCAGCAGUAGCCGCGGAGCGGACAUCGGAGACCUGGGCAGCUUACCACUACUGAUCAUGUAUAAUUACGUAUUUUGAUACACUUAUAUUCUGGGGGAACGGUUUGUAUUAUAUCGGUGGUAGACUGUUUCAGUUUGUAAUAAUGUUAUACUACCACUCGACUAUGUAUAAUUAUAA